UGAGGAUUUGAUCCUGGUCCAGGACGAACGCUGGCGGCGUGGAUAAGGCAUGCAAGUUGAACGGCCGAGCACCAGCAAUGGUGCUCGGUAGUGGCGAACGAGUUAGUAACACCCUGGUACGUACCCCAAAGACGGGCAUAACUCCGCGAAAGCGGAGCUAAUUCCCGAUAGCGAAGCAAUUCUAAAGUCGUAAGACGCUUUGGGAUCGGCCUAGGUCCGAUCAGCUAGAAGGUGUGGUAACGGCGCACCUUGGCUAUGACCGGUAGGGAGGGUGAGAGCCCGUUUCCCAACGACGCAACUGAGACACGGUGCGUACUCCUACGGGAGGCAGCAGUCGAGAAUAUUCGACAAUGGGCGAAAGCCUGAUCGAGCGACGCCGCGUGGAGGAUGAAGGCCUUCGGGUCGUAAACUCCUUUUCUACGGGAUAAAGCCGCAAGGCUGAUAGUACCGUAGGAAUAAGGGGCUGCAAACCUCGUGCCAGCAGCCGCGGUAAUACGAGGACCCCAAGCGUUGUCCGGAUUUAUUGGGCGUAAAGGGCGCGUAGGGUGUUUUGCGCGUCUUCCGUUAAAUUUCACCGCUCAACGGUGAAACCGCGGAGGAUACGGCGAAACUAGAGGGCGUAAGAGGCAGAUGGAACGCACGGUGUAGGGGUGAAAUCCGUUGAUAUCGUGCGGAACACCAAAGGCGAAGGCAUUCUGCUGGGACGUUCCUGACCCUGAGGCGCGAAAGCGUGGGGAGCAAACGGGAUUAGAUACCCCGGUAGUCCACGCCCUAAACGAUGCUGACUGGCUGUCUCGAGUAUCGACCCUCGGGGUGGCGAAGCUAACGCGUUAAGUCAGCCGCCUGGGAAGUACGAGCGCAAGCUUAAAACUCAAAGGAAUAGACGGGGACUCGCACAAGCGGUG
rnacentral:rRNA from 1 species